CCUACGGGAGGCAGCAGUGAGGAAUAUUGGUCAAUGGCCGAGAGGCUGAACCAGCCAAGUCGCGUGAGUGAAGAAUGUCCUCUGGUUUGUAAACCUCUUUUGUCAGGGAGCAAAGUCACCCACGUGUGGGUGUUGGAGAGUACCUUAAGUAAAAGCAUCGGCUAACUCCGUGCCAGCGGCCGCGGUAAUACGGAGGAUGCGAGGUUUAUCCGGAUUUAUUGGGUUUAAAGGGUGCGUCGUGGGGUUAUCAAGUCAGCGGUAAAAUCGUGGGGCUCAACUCCAUCCAGCCGUGGAAACUGAUGAUCUGGAGUGGGCGAGAGGAAGGUGGAAUGCGGGGUGUAGCGGUGAAAUGCAUAGAUA
rnacentral:rRNA from 1 species